UACGGGGGGGGGCAAGCGUUGUUCGGAAUUACUGGGCGUAAAGGGCUCGUAGGUGGCCAACUAAGUCAGACGUGAAAUCCCUCGGCUUAACCGGGGAACUGCGUCUGAUACUGGAUGGCUUGAGUUCGGGAGAGGGAUGCGGAAUUCCAGGUGUAGCGGUGAAAUGCGUAGAUAUCUGGAGGAACACCGGUGGCGAAGGCGGCAUCCUGGACCGACACUGACGCUGAGGUGCGAAAGCGUGGGGAGCAAACAGG
rnacentral:rRNA from 1 species